rnacentral:lncRNA from 1 species
GUUAUUAAAUGCAAGGCACUUGUGGUGUGGGAACCAAACAUACCCAUUUCUAUUGAGGAGCUGAGUUGUCCAUCUCAAGAAUCAUGAGAUUCGAGUAGAGACAGAUUCUGGCCAUCAGCUUUUGUGGCACAGACGACUGUGCAAUUAAUGGAAAAUUAAAAACUAAAUAUCCAUUUCUUCUAGGACACGAAGCAGCUGGAAUUGUAGAGAGUAUUGGAAAAGGAGUGAGAAAGGUAAAACCAAUGGCUGAUGACACCACCAGAUUUACCUGUAAAAGAAAACCAAUCUACCAACUCCCUAACACAAGCACCUUCACUGAAUACACAGUGUUAAGAGAAAGUGCAUUUGUCAAAAUUGAUCCUGAUGCUCCACUAGAAAAAGUAUGUUUGAUAGGCUGUGGAUUACUUGCAGGAAGAGGGCAGGAAUAAAUAAUGCAAAGGUCAAAUUCUUUCUAACUUGUACUGUGUUUGGCCUGGGUGAAGUUGGUCUCUUUAUUAUUAUGGGUUGCAAAGCUACUGGUGCUUCCAGGAUCAUUGGUAUUGACAUCAACAGAAACAAAUUUAAGAAGGCCAUAUCUCUGGGAGCUGCUGAAUGUUAUUAGUUCCAGGGAUCUUGAGAAGCCUAUCUGACACGUGCUCAUUGAAAUGAGUGACAACAU